AGUUUGAUUAUGGCCUAGAUUGAACGCUGGCGGGAUGUUUACACAUGCAAUUCGAACGGCACUGGACUUCGGUCUGGUGGUUGGCGGCGAACGGGUGAGUAAUGUAUCGGAACGUGCCUAGUAGCGGGGGAUAACUACGCGAAAGCGUAGCUAAUACCGCAUACGGGCCUCUUCGGGGAAAGCGGGGACCUUCGGGCCUCGCACUAUUAGAGCGGCCGACAUUUGAUUAGCUAGUUGGUGGGUAACGGCUCACCAAGGCGACGAUCCGUAGCUAACAGGAGGAUUAAUUCAGCCACACUGGGACGAGACACGGCCCAGACUCCUACGGGAGGCAGCAGUGGGAAUUUUUGGACAAUGGGGAAACCCUGAUCCAGCCAUCCCGCGUGCACAAGGCCUUCGGGUUGUAGCACUGUGCAGGAAAGAAACGGCACGGGAUAAUACCCUUGUGCAACUGACGGUACCAGCAGAAUAAGCACCGGCUAACCAUGCCAGCAGCCAGCAAUACGUAGGGUGCAAGCGUUAAUCGGAACUACGGGCGUAAAGCGUGCGCAAGUGUCUGGAAAGAAAGAUGUGAAAUCCCAGAGCUUAACUUGGAACCGCAUUUUUAACUACCGAGCUAGAGUGUGUCAGAGGGAGGUGGAAUUCGCGUGUAGCAGUGAAAUGCGGUAUAUGCGGAGGAACACCGAUGGCGAAGUAGCCUCCUGGGAUAACACUGACGCUCAUGCACGAAAGUGGGGAGCAACAUAUUUUUCGAUACUCCUGGUAGUCCACGCCCCAAACGAUGUCAACUAGCUGUUGGGCCUUCGGGCCGUGGUAGCGCAGCUAACGGGUGAAGUUGACCGCCUGGGGAGUACGGUCGCAAGAUUAAAAACCUCGAAGGAAUUGAUGGGCCCGCACAAGCGGUGGAUGACGUGGAUUAAUUCAUGCAACGCGAAACCUUACCUACCUCGACAUAUCUGGAAUCCCGAAGAGAUUUGGGAGUGUCGCAAGAACUGGAACACAGAAGCGCAGUGGCUGUCGUCAGUCGUGUCACGUGAGAUGUUGCUAAGUCCCGCAACGAGCGCAACCCUUGUCACGGUUACGCUAAAAGCGCACUUGACGAGACUGCCGGUGACAAACCGGAGGAAGGGGAUGACGUCAAGUCCUCGCGGCCCUUAUGGGUAGCUUCACACGUCAUACAAUGGUCGGGCCAGAGGGCCAACCGCGAGGGGGAGCCAAUCCCAGAAACCCCGAUCAGUCCUGAUCGCAGUCUGCAACUCGACUAUGGCUGGAAUCGCUAGCACUCGCGGAUCAGCAUGUCGCGGUGAAUACGUUCCCGGGUCUUGUACACACCGCCCGUCACACCAUGGGAGUGGGUUUACCAGAAGUAGUUAGCCUAACCGUAAGGAGGGCGAUUACCACGGUAGGAUUCUGCGACCGGGGUGAAGUCGUAACGAAGGUAG
rnacentral:rRNA from 1 species